rnacentral:lncRNA from 1 species
UGGGCAUGGGCCAGUCUUUACUAGUUUAUAUAGAAAAGCUAAGAAUGGUCGACCAAGGGCGAAUUUGUCAUUCUACUAUGCCAUUUUAUUUUAUUUUUUAUACGUAUUCCUACACAAUUCUAGAACCCUCCUCUGCUUUCGAAACGUAUUUUCUGCAUCUUCACACUUGGACCUGCUACUCCUCUUUCAUUUACAUUGAUCUUCUAGCUGGGUCUCUCAAUUUCAGGUAAGGGAAUCUUUAAUUUUUGCUUUAAUAUUCGUCUUCGGUGGUUACGUUAUAACUUCACGUCUGAUCAUCUGUCAAUUUUUGUCCAGAUCUUAUCCGUUCUUCUUGUUUUCUCCUUGAUUUUUUGGUUCUCUUCGGUCUUCCCAAAUUCAUGGCUGGUAUCAUUCUAUUUUUCAUGGUAGUAAUUUCAUUUGCUUUCCCCUUUUUUUUUUUUUUUGAAUUUCAAAAAAUGUCCCUUUAAAUUCUAUUAUAUUGCGAACAAAUUCAUGAUAUACAUAAGCGAACGAAUUCAUGACUCUUUGGCGCAAAGCCAGGAGCUCUUCACCGGAGGUGGUACUUUUUCUAUUAGUUUAUAAUGAUGAAUUUCCGCAUUCCAAGUGUUAAAAACUUGGAGCAAAUAGAAACUGAUAUAAAAAAUAAGGAUGCUAAGACAUUGGAAAUAUCCAAUUCUAGGCACACAUUCGAAAUGUCGGCCGAAAAAAUUGAAUUUAUUUAGAAUCAAAGAUUUCAAAUGUAUUAAAAAUAAAUUAUACUUGUAAAUUGGGGUACAUUUUUAUCUUUCUCCAGCCUUAUUUGUUGUACUUAUUUAUUAUUAAUACUUUAUUUUUGUUCAUUUUCUCUUCUCUAUUAUAGUUAUUUUACUCUCUGUAGUGUUAAUUUUCUAUUGCUGUGUUUGUAUAGUAUUUCAAAGUGUGAGUAGAAAGUUCAUUUCUUAUUGUAGUCGAGUACUAAAAUCGGGCUUAGUUCCUACUUCCUAGGAAGGGUAUGUGAUUUGCAAAUGCAACCCUCCUGCUUGCUUAUGAUUUUAAGUUUGAGGACAAGCAUUUGAAAAUUUGCAUCGUAAAAUUUUAUUGUCAUAGCAUUAGCAGAGGAGGAGAUUGAGGAUAGCAUUAGCCUUAUUUCUAUCUGCUUGCUGAGUUAAUAUCACAGAUGUUAAUAACUUAAUAUAAGAUAGCUUAUCCUUUCAUCUUUGGUGUCUGAACAUUUUACGGAGGUAAGAUCUACUCCUUUUACUAAGUAUUAUAAAUUCCUUCAAUAAAAUUAGCUUAAGGAUGUUGAUAAAAGAAUAAGCUAAGGGCUAAAAAAUGUGCAGAUCCUUUGGGAGGAGGAAUAGCAGAUAACGGUUGUAGGAUCUUUUUUUGACAUGUUUUCUCUUGAGUUGCAGAAGUCAUAUAGGUCCUUGAGCUAGGAGCCUAGGACCUAGCCAACAUAAUCAAAAUCAAGCUCUCAUAUUCUUUCAUGUAAAAGAAACUGAUUUUCUUGUUUGCUGUUUUUGUAUUUGCAUGUUCUAUUGCCUCUUUUUCCUGAACUAAAAUUUCACUUUCUCAUGCAUGUUCCAAUAUGAAAGCUGAGAUCUACAAAAACUACAGUUCACUCCAGAUCUGCAUGAUUAGUGAAUUAGGGGAUUGAUAGCCCGUUUGGCCAAGCUUCUAAAAUCAACUUAUUUUGAGAAGUGCUUUUCUCAAAAGUACUUUUUAAAAAAGUGUUUUUGGUGAGAAGCAGUUUGUGUUUGACUAAUUAAUUUGAAAAGCACUUUUGAGCAGUAAUUAGUGUUUGGCCAAGUUUUUGAAAACUGCUUCUAAGUGUAUUUUUCUCAAAAGUGCUUUUGGAGAGAAGCUACUUUUUUCUGCUUCUCCAAAACUGCUUUUCCUUUUCCUCAAAAACACUUUUUUUCCUUCCAAAAGCU